AAACAAAAUAGUUGUACUUGGAGGCGAAUAGAGUCUGAGUGGCCUGAGUGAUGAUUCGUGGGUGGGUGGAGAGGGGUGGGGUUUGUUAGCAGUCUGAUGGCCCAGGGGAGGAAGCUGUUAGUGAGUCUGGAGGUGUGGACCUGACUGACCUCAGGUGCAUCGGGUCAAACAGGCGGUGGGCGGGGAUGCCAGGGCUCUGUGAUGGGCUUGCUUUACCUGAAACAGGAAGAUGGCAAUGGUCCUGGUUAGAGCAGGGGGACAUGGCCAAAAAUAUUUAUCACGAUAUACAUUUGAAAAUUUGCGAUAACGAUAUAACUGACACGAGACAAAAUACUUUACAACGCCACAACUUUAUUAGUGCAAAAAAAACAUCAGUGUAUUUUCACUUAAACAAGCAGCUGUUUUUUAUCUGCAUUAAAGUUAUAUAAAAACAUAACAGUGCAAAUGCAAACUCCUCGCUGACAGUUUAACCAAAAGGCAUUUCCAGUGGAAACUGGCCGACAUGUCCUCAGCAUAACCAUGUAUCAUAUCCACAAAACUUAAAAAGAGGUUAUACACACACAAUAUGGUAAUAUCAGGGGUCGGCAACCCCGGGCACGCUGCAGCUGGCACACAAAGGGUUAACUGAUGGCACGACCAUAGCUGGACUGUGAUUUUUCGUUUUUAUGGGUCAAUGAUUUUUUUAUUUUAUUUUAUUUUUGUAACGGUAUAAACAGUGAGAGGUGGUGGAUUGGCCAGAUGCUGGUCGAUGUGUAACAAUAACUCUGUUGUUUGGUGGUGGCUGUGGCGGAGCUUCCACUGAGGCAACAGGUGGAUGAGGGAAGGGGAGGCAGGAGGAGGAGGAGAGACCCGAGGCGGCCGCCAGUCCGAGUGUCAGGUGAACUGAACUUCGGGUAAGAAGUUAUGACCUGCAGUCUGUCUGGGUCAGAUAUAAACCAAGUUUAGGUGGAGUUUAUUUUGUUGUGCUGACUUUUUACCGUCAGUUACAAUAACUCGUACUGCGUGAGCUAGCAUGACGGAGUUUCUAUACAGCUGGGUGGGUGCUAUGAUGUCACUGAUAGUGAACUUUAUUUUAUUCAUAAGGUCAGUUAGUAGAGUUGCCAACCGUCCUGUACAAAACGGAAUCGUCCCACAUUCAGAGAAAAUAUUACUCGUUUUGUGUUGAGCUGAGAAGGAACGCAGUUUGUCCCAGGCCAGGUAGGAUGGAUUCCCAGAACACCGGACUUCAGCUACAAUGAAAAAGACACAAAGCUGGAUUUAUUCUGUGUUUACGCUGCACAGAUGCCUCUUCUCCUCUCUCUCCUGUUACUGCGGUCAAGUGAGCCCUCACUUACGAAGUCACAGUCAAGCUAGCCGCUCCGCCAGCCGCACCGAGAAUGUGGUUGCACUACUCUUACGUAUAUUACGGUAUGGGUGAAGACUGGCUUAGAAACGCAGUGUUUUCUGUCCUGACACUAUUUUACUUCACAAUCCACUCCCAGUUUUAGUGUAUCUCCACUUUCCCCCCUGUGAUCCACAGCCCAAAUUACUGUAUGAUUCAGAGAAAAUUAACAAUAAAAUUUACCCAAUUUAC
ensembl:lncRNA